GUAUGUAUAUGAUUGUUUUCAGAUUCUGAUGAUUCUGAUCUCCGCUACCAUUACUUUGUUCACAAUUUUACUAGGAUUUGUUAGUUUUCUAGAAAUGUGCCUUUAAUUGCUUUUUACAGUAUUAUGUGAAAUAGAGAUCAAUUUCCAUAUGACUAAUCAGCUAGUGUGAGUUCAAACCCAAAAAUUGUGAAUCAUGGGUUGAGAGAGGAGGGCAACCAAAUUUUUUAUUUAUUUAUUUUUAAUUUUUAAACCAAAGACAAAAGUAUAAAUUUUUUUAGUUUUGAGUUCUCUUUUGGCAAAAUAAAUUGUUACAUUUUAUUCUCUUCAUCUUCUGAUUUAUUUCAAUCUUAACCUUAUGUUGACAUUUGAUAAUGAAAGAAGACCGGAAAAAUCACAUCUAUUUGUGUUAACAUAAGUAGAUUUUUUUAUUUUUUUGUUAACUUAAUGUAUCUAUGUAUAUGGAUAGAUAGAUCGACUACAUGUACGAAUAAAGUGGUAAAAAAAAUAGUAAUUCAUGGGAAAAUCACCCCAUGAUGGAGUUGCUUGAGAAAAUACAUGCACAUGUCAAUUUCAUCAUGUUUAUGUAUAUAAAUCAGCUCUUGAAUGAGCAUUUUUAUAGUAAAAUUCACUUGCCACUUUUCCAUCAUCUUUUCAUAACAGAAGGUUGAGAUUAAAGCAAAUAAGAAGAUUAAGGGGCAAACUGUAUCAAUUUUUAGUUGAAAAGGGUAAAAUUACAACAAGCCAUAGUUAAGGCGGGGUAAAGUGUAAUUUUCCUUUUUUAUAUAAAAAAAAAUUAAAGAAUUUAUGCUUACAUAAUGAAUUCAUGUAACCCUGAAUCUUGAUUCUUGAUUUGUUUAAUUACCCCUUUUUCUUUCUCUUAUUCUUCUGUGUUGGCUUUGUUUUUUUUUUAUCAAUGUGUGAAGUGGUGGCACUUGUUUUCAGCUGAGAAUUGAACGCUCACACUUGCAAUGGAGAAAGGCAUUAACUGUUGCUUCUCAGCUAUGAUGACAAAUUCAUAUACUUUUGUUAUUACUAGUAUUGCCGCCUUUAUCGUGAUGCGGGUUUUGUAUGUUAUAUAUUGGAGUGGCAAACCACUUUGUACUAAGCCUGCAAAGCCUUUCAGCACCCUCAUUGUUCUGGGUUCAGGGGGUCAUACAGCGGAGAUGCUAAAUCUCUUAUCGGUGUUGAAUACCGACAGAUUUGCUCCUAGAUUUUACAUUGCAGCUGCCACCGAUAAUAUGAGUCUUCAUAAGGCACGCUUGUUUGAGAAUUCCUUGAUUGAUAAGACAGGAGUGGUAGAGAACGCUCAGUUUAUGCAGAUAUAUCGAAGCCGAGAAGUAGGCCAGUCGUAUUUAACUUCUGUUGGGACAACCCUAACUGCUAUCAUUCAUGCUCUGUGGCUAAUGAUUAAAAUCAGACCCCAAGUGAUUAUAUGCAACGGCCCUGGCACUUGUGUGCCUCUAUGUGUUAUUGCUUUCCUCUUUAAGGUUGUGGGUAUUAGAUGGUCAUCUACUUUUUAUGUUGAAAGCAUAGCGAGAGUGAAGAGGUUAUCUUUAAGUGGAUCGCUUCUUUACCAGUUACGCAUGGCAGAUCAAUUCUUUGUGCAAUGGCCACAACUACAGAAGAAAUAUCCUAGAGCUCACCUUGUGGGUUGCCUCAUGUAGUUGAUUCAAUACAACCUUUGCUGUAUGGCAACAGGGCGAGGUUGGGGUUGUAGUCCCCAUCCUGGUCCCCUUCUUUGUCAAGGUGGGGAGGACUAGGGAGGUGGUAGGGGGAGCAAAAAAGUGUCAGAUAAUUUGUCACUUUUAAGCUAUGAAGCAUGGGUAUACCGGUACUGGGUACGAUACGGGUACGUCGAUAUGGUAUCCAAAAAAAAUAAGGUCUUGAGCUUCUCCCAUGAAGAUGUGAAAGUUCCAACAAGAUUUAAGCUUACAAAAAGGUGUAGGUGACAAAGUGAUCCUUGUUGUAUAGGAAGAUCAUAUAUGGAUGAUGACAUUACUCAUGCAAUUCUGGCCAGGUGUUGAGAGCAAAUGCCAGGUGUUGAGAUACUACUUACAGUAAAAAAAACAGGCUAAUAUGGUCAUUUACUACAUGCUAUUACGUGGCAAGUCACAACAAAACUAAGUACAUCCUUUUUUCUUUUUUUUCUUUUUUGGAAGGAACUAAAGUACAUCCUCAUUCAUGUGUUCUACUCUAAUAGGAAAAUAAUAUGUAGUGUUUGGCCGAAUUUUAAAAUUAUGAUUUCAGAAUAGGGUUAUAUUUUGA